rnacentral:rRNA from 1 species
AGAGUUUGAUCCUGGCUCAGGACGAACGCUGGCGGUGCGCCUUAUGCAUGCAAGUCGAGCGAAGCUUUUCAGUAGUUUACUACAGAAAAUGACUGAGCGGCGAACGGGUGAGUAACGCGUGAGCAAUCUACCUUAGUUACUGGGAUAGCCCGAGGAAACUCGGAUUAAUACCGGAUAAUCUUAUUACAUCACAUGAUAUUUUAAGUAAAGGUCAGCCGAACUAAGAUGAGCUCGCGUUCUAUCAGCUUGUUGGUGGGGUAAAAGCCUACCAAGGCUACGACGGAUAGCUGGUCUGAGAGGACGAUCAGCCACACUGGGACUGAGACACGGCCCAGACUCCUACGGGAGGCUGCAGCAGGGAAUAUUGCGCAAUGAGCGAAAGCUUGACGCAGCGACACCGCGUGUGGGAUGACGGUUCUAGGAUUGUAAACCACUUUCAGGAGGGAAGAAAAUGACGGUACCUCCACAAGAAGCCCCGGCCAACUACGUGCCAGCAGCCGCGGUAAUACGUAGGGGGCGAGCGUUGUCCGGAUUUAUUGGGCGUAAAGAGCUCGUAGGCGGUUCAACAAGUCGGUCGUGAAAGUUCAGGGCUUAACCCUGAAAUGUCGAUCGAUACUGUUGUGACUAGGAUAUGGUAGAGGUGAGUGGAAUUCCGAGUGUAGCGGUGAAAUGCGUAGAUAUUCGGAGGAACACCAAUAGCGAAGGCAGCUCACUGGACCACUAUCGACGCUGAGGAGCGAAAGCUAGGGGAGCAAACAGGAUUAGAUACCCUGGUAGUCCUAGCUGUAAACGAUGGAUACUAGAUGUAGGAAUUGGAUUGACGAUUUCUGUAUCGUAGCUAACGCGUUAAGUAUCCCGCCUGGGGAGUACGGUCGCAAG